AUUGAACGCUGGCGGCAGGCUUAACACAUGCAAGUCGAGCGAGUGGCGGACGGGUGAGUAAUGUCUGGGAAACUGACUGAUGGAGGGGGAUAACUACUGGAAACUGUAGCUAAUACCGCAUACCAUCGGAUGAGCCCAGAUGGGAUUAGCUAGUAGGUGGGGUAAUGGCUUACCUAGGCGACGAUCCCUAGCUGGUCUGAGAGGAUGACCAGCCACACUGGAACUGAGACACGGGCCAGACUCCUACGGGAGGCAGCAGUGGGGAAUAUUGCACAAGGGGCGCAAGCCUGAUGCAGCCAUGCCGCGUGUGUGAAGAAGGCCUUCGGGUUGUAAAGCACUUUCGGCGAGGAGGCGUUACUCACAGAAGAAGCACCGGCUAACUCCGUGCCAGCAGCCGCGGUAAUUC
rnacentral:rRNA from 1 species